rnacentral:rRNA from 1 species
UGGGGGAUAUUGCACAAUGGGCGAAAGCCUGAUGCAGCGACGCCGCGUGGGGGAUGAAGGCCUUCGGGUUGUAAACUUCUUUUGCUCUGAACAAGGCGCACCAUGGGGUGUGUUGAGUGUAGGGGUUGAUUAGCGCCGGCUAACUACGUGCCAGCAGCCGCGGUAAUACGUAGGGCGCGAGCGUUGUCCGGAAUUAUUGGGCGUAAAGGGCUUGUAGGUGGCUGGUUGCGUCUGUCGUGAAAGCUCAUGGCUUAACUGUGGGUUUGCGGUGGGUACGGGCUGGCUUGAGUGCAGUAGGAGAGGCUGGAAUUCCUGGUGUAGCGGUGGAAUGCGCAGAUAUCAGGAGGAAUACCGGUGGCGAAGGCGGGUCUCUGGGCUGUUACUGACACUGAGGAGCGAAAGCAUGGGGUGCGAACAGG